CACGGGAAAUAAAGCACCGUGUGGUCAGUUAAACAGAAAUUGAAUCAGAGAGGAAUUGAAAGGUUCUUUGUUGCCGUUGAAAGACAAGAAAAGUGAGUGGAAAAAUCAAGAUGAAAAGACUCCUUUUAAUUUUGGUGGUAGGUCUAUCCGCAGCAGGAGCAUCUGCCAAGAGCUGGUAUCAGAAUGCAGUCGGCGGAGACAAACACCCAGAUUAUCCAAGUGGUGGAUUUUAUAUUCCGUCUGGAGGGCUUGUCGUUGCAGAUCCGUGUGCUCAUCUCCCAGACGGUGACUAUAACCUAGAGGGGCCUUGGCUGGCAGUAUUCCCGUACAUCGACAGCAGGUGCAACUUCGUUAAGUGUUCCUACAGCAAGAGCGUCCGUGUUCGCUGCGGCUCGGGGACAAGAAAUAACGACUUUGGGAGAGGCUUCUGCCAGGUGCACGACGAAUACGGAGUUUGUGGUGUGAAGUCGCCAAAGUUCGCUGCGAAACAUUAGGCUAAGACAAGGAGGAGAACGCAGUAGGUAAACCCAGCAGAAGAAGAUAAAUGGCGAUGAUGGAGACGACCUCUGGGUUCAAUCAUAUAUCUUUAUUAUACCAUUAGACACACAGGGACAAACUCAUGUAUAAUACUGUCUCGCAUAGACUGAGGCUGACCAAUAAUGCUUGUGUAUAGGAAUUAAACGUGACGGUGUGUUUUCAUAAACAUUGUAUGGGUAAAAUAAUUCGAAUGGGAAAAUUUAACUGUCACUGGGAGGGUGAUAAAAUAUCAAUAGAUCUUGAAAGUAAAGCUAAAUCGAAUAUAAUUUUUUUCGCUUCUGCUUAUGUCAUUCCUGAAUGAAAUAUAUAAAGGAAACGCUGCGUGUUACAUGUAUGUUAUGAAGUUGGCACGUUUAUAAUUUUUUACAUAGGGUAGACCUUUGAUUUAGAUUCCAUUAUCUUAUAACGAAGCAACACAUCUAAACAAUAUUUUAUGACUGAAUAAACCUGUCACUUGUUGGCAUUCAAGUGUUAUUGAGUAACGUUUUCGACUGAGAGUAACGCGUAAAUUCCAAACUGCUUCCGUUCUUGUGUUAUGAUAGUUCAGUUGCAAAAUAAAAGG